UACGGAGGAGGCAAGCGUUAUCCGGAAUUAUUGGGCGUAAAGCGUCCGCAGGUGGCACUUCAAGUCUGUCGUCAAAGACUGGGGCUUAACCCUGGAAAGGCGGUGGAAACUGUAGCGCUAGAGUGCGGUAGGGGUAGAGGGAAUUCCCGGUGUAGCGGUGAAAUGCGUAGAGAUCGGGAAGAACAUCGGUGGCGAAAGCGCUCUACUGGACCGCAACUGACACUCAGGGACGAAAGCUAGGGGAGCGAAUGGG
rnacentral:rRNA from 1 species